rnacentral:rRNA from 1 species
GCUGGCCUAAGGACUAAGCCAUGCACGUCUAGUACAAACUGAAUGAUGGUGAAACUGCAAAUGGCUCAUACAACGGUUACGAUGUACCCGGGAGUCCCGAUGGAUAUUUCCAGUAACACUAGAACUAAUACAUGUCCCUGCGUUUAUUAGUUUCGCACAGUCCGUCGCUGAGUCAUGGUAAACAGUUGAUCGACUCGACGUCCCGGAACAGUUUCCGCCCCAUCAGCUUCGAUGGUUGGGUAUUGGCCUACCAUUGCAACAACGGGUAACGAGGAAUUAGGGUUUGAUUUCGGAGAGGGAGCCUGAGAAACGACUACCACAUCUACGGAUGGCAGCAGGCGCGCAAAUUACCCAAUGCAGACACUGUGAGGUAGUGACGAGAAAUAAUAAAGCGGGACUUCUGUUUCGCUAUUAUAAUGAGGAAUAACCAAAGGUCAUUCCGAUUAGCAACUGAUGGGAAAGUCUGGUGCCAGCAGCCGCGGUAAUACCAGCGUCAGUAG